rnacentral:rRNA from 1 species
AUCUGGUUGAUCCUGCCAGUAGUCAUACGCUCGUCUCAAAGAUUAAGCCAUCCAUGUGUAAGUAUAAAUAUUUUUACUUUGAAACUGCGAAUGGCUCAUUAUAUCAGUUAUAGUUUAUUAGAAAUAUUUUACUACUUGGAUAACCGUAGUAAUUCUAGGGCUAAUACAUGAGUAAAACCUCAACUUCGGAAGAGGUGUGUUUAUUAGUAUGAAAACCAUAUAUCUUCGGAUAUAAUAGUGAGUAAUAAUAACCUUUCAUAUCGUAUGUCGUAAGAUAACGAUAGUUCUUUCAAGUUUCUGCCCUAUCAGCUUUCGAUGGUAGUAUAUGGGACUACCAUGGCAGUAACGGGUAACGAAGAAUUUGGGUUCGAUUUCGGAGAGGGAGCCUGAGAGAUGGCUACCACAUCCAAGGAAGGCAGCAGGCGCGUAAAUUACCCAAUCCUGACAUAGGGAGGUAGUGACAAUAAAUCACAAUGCGGAACUUUUAGUUUUGCAAUUGGAUUGAGAACAAUGUACAAAUGUUAUCGAUAAACAAUUGGAGGGCAAGUCUGGUGCCAGCAGCCGCGGGAAUUCCAGCUCCAAUAGCGUAUAUUAACGUUGUUGCAGUUAAAAAGCUC